rnacentral:lncRNA from 1 species
CUAGAAUCCCACCACAACGAAGAUCAUUUUCUUCUUUGCUCUCCUUGCUAUUGCUGCAUGCAGCGCCUCUGCGCAGUUUGAUGCUGUUACUCAAGUUUACAGGCAAUAUCAGCUGCAGCCGCGUCUCAUGUGUCACGACCGGAAAUAACCCAACGGGCGUUCCUUACGUGAGUGCAUUAUUCCUUGUCCCAGGAGGCAAGGUACACCAAAAGUUGAUACAGUUCAGAGUUCAACAAGCGGAAGCGUAAAUAGUUAAUUUAUUACAUGGGCAGCGAAGGCCCAGCACACACAAAGACAAACGAGAAACAGCGGAAGACUAGGGCGACGACCACAGGCGCUUGACGGUAGGCACGAGCUAGACACCAAAACCUUCAUCUUCCAGAGACUCCUCUUCUGGGUUUGGGAAAAAAAUUGAGCAAGACUGAGUACAACCACCGUACUCAACAAGACACACCCACAAGUGCAUAAUAAAUGCAAGGGAGUACAAGGGAGUUAUAAUAUAAAGGGUUAGGGUUGCAGUAAACAGCAUUUAAAGAUACUUAGUUGCUCAAAGCUAUUUUGUAAACACGAUUCUAGAACUAUACAAUAUUAUUUAUCAAGGCCGUGAACCCACACGAACCUGCCUUAACCCAAGGCCUACGAUGAUUCAGACCGAACCGGCAACCCGACCCUGGGUCCAAGCUCGUCCCAAGCCAACCCAGGCCAACCAUUCCACAUUUUAGUUGUUAAGCAGGUUUUAAGAAUUAAAACACUAACUUGGGUACAUUGCUCGGCUUGCCCAUAACCGAGGGCGCGGCUAUUCGAAUAGAUUAUACUCUGAUCAAAGGUGUACAUCUUUACCCACAAGACACAUCUUCCUCACGUGCAACCACGUGGCACAUACCACCACGGUAUACAGACGGAAGACGUGACAUAGUUUCCAACCCAUCCUAGCCAUAGACAAGAGUACCGACCCAAUCCCACCUACGGCCGGAACCCCCGGGACAGGUAGGCAGGACUGAGCCCCUAGCAGCAGGACACCGGCCCUGUGCCAUGACAUCUCGACUACCGGGCCGCAGCUCGUGUAGCCUUCAUUUGCCCUGGAGAUGUCCAUCGACCCCCGACUUCGUCCAUCUCCAUCCGUGUACUUUUGUUUAUAACCAGACUGAGCCACAAACUAAGCCUUACCCACUAGACAUGUGGAAGUACGCUAGUACUUUGCAACAGAGGCCCGAAGACCGGUCCUUAUAUGGCCGAGGUGCUACUAUCAAAACCAUGCACCCCGAGCCCAGCCUAAAACCAUUGUUGGGGAUUUUGAAUAGAGGGGGCGGUGUGAAUCCAAUUCCACAAUACUCCAACAAUUCCAAAGUGUCCAGGUGAUAUGAAUAUCCCAAAGUCUAGAGUUGUAAAACCGCCUAAUGUUACCUAAUUAAAUAGCGAAGCAUCUACCUAAAAUCAUACUAGUGGUACCAUGAGUAGAGUGUCCACUAGUUGGGGUUUUGUUUAUUCUAGGGUGAACAAGGAAAUAAUAACAAUAACAAUAAUAAGGUCAUAACAAAGGUAAAUAGGCAUGGCUAGAUAAAACAGUGAUAACGCGGGAAUUUAAAUAAAGCGAUAAUGCAAUAAUUUUAAAGCAACAUAAUUUUAUAAACUGGGAUUCAAUAUGUUCAAGGAUGAUGUGACUUGCCUUGCUCGCUUUCCCAAACGCCGGCUUCAACUUCCGAAGCUGCAGCGUCUACACGACCAACGGAAAAGAAAAGGCUUUUACUCUAAUAAACUCCAUAUAACAAGCAGAAACAAAGCACAAAAAUGGGUUCUUGACUUCUUAAGGAAAAAUUAGAGACUUGAACGGUCCAAUUCCGAGUUCAAAUGGCCAAGUUAUGGCCAUUUGAAGUUUAUAUGCUCUUUAAAUGAAUAUUUGCGAAUUUCUUCAUUUAAAUUUUAAUUUAAAAUGGAUUUAUUGCGUCAGCCGAGGGGAGGGGCGCGCGGACCGGGUCCACGGGGGUGGGGCCCACGCGGCAGCCCCACGGUCCACGGUGGACCGGGCGCACCCGGGCUCACACCGGCCGGCGCCGUGGGUCCCACGCGUCAGCCGCACCCGAGGACGCGGGCGGCUGACAGCCGGGCCCCACGCGGCAGCCGCACGGUGCGCCCGAAGGCGGCCACGCCGGCGCAGCGGCGGGAGGCGGCGCGCCCUCACCCCUAUGGUCGCCGGCGGCGGCCAUAGGCACGGCGGAGCGGCGGCCGAGAGAGGGGAAGGGAAGGGGGAAAAGAAGCGGCGGUCCACGGCUCACCCCGGGUCGACGGCGACGACGGAAACGGCGACCGGAGCGGAGGAAGGCGGCGGCGCGGCUCGGGUGGACGGGGUCGACGGUGCUCCGGCGGUCGGCGAGCGAAACGGAGGGGUGGACGAGGUCGCCGGGGAUGCGGUGGAGCCGAAGGUGGCGACGCCGAGGCGGGAGGUGGUCCGGGGCGACGACGGCGGCGGACCGGAGCUCGGCGGUGACGGCGGAGAGAGAGAACGACGGCGCGAGCUCGAUUCCGACGGGGAGAGAGGGCGGCGAGUGGCGGAAACGGUGGAGGGAGGCACGGGGAAGGUUUAUAUAGGAUUGGGAGGGGGAGGGAGCUGCCGGACGAGGGGGAAACGGGCGCGGAAGAUCCGGUCGCCAUUGAUGGCGCCGGCGAGGUUAGGGGAGAGGUUUCCAAACGAAUCCGAGGGAGAGAGGGAGGGAAAAAUGGGGGGAAAGAGGGAGGGAAUCACGGGGAAUAUUUCCCCCCACUUUAUUGCGCGCGUGGAUGGCGGGAGGCGGCGGGAUUCGCGGCGGCGGCGGCGCUAGGGCACGGGCGAGGCGGCGGGAGCGGCGGGAGGAAGGGGAUGACGGGUGGGCCCCACCCGUCAGCGAGGGUGGCGGGCGGGCCCGCCCGUCAGCGGCACGCGCGCGGGGAGGAGGCCGAAUGGGCCGCGGAGGAGAGGAGAGAGAGGGAGAGAGAUGGGCCGAGCCGGCCCAAGAGGGGGAGGAGGGGGAAAAGGACUUUUUUUAGGGUUUUUCUUUUUAUAAAACCUUUUUAACUUUGUUUAUUUCUUCUUAAUUAUUAUUUGUGCUCUGAAAAUUCCACUAAAAUUUAUUUACGCAUUUUAGGCUUUUAGGAAAUAUACAAAAAUCCUCCAAGCCUUAUUUGACUUUUAACUUUGCACAUUUUAAUUGUUGGAGGCUUUCACACGGAUUUUAAUUAUUCUAGGCAUAAUUUCGGGGAUGUAUUUUAGAGUCGUUUUGGGACGCGACAUCAUGCUGCAGCAACAGAUGCUUAGCCCAAGCGGUGAGUUCGUAAGGCAGCAGUGCAGCACAGUGGCAACCCCCUUCUUCCAAUCAC